GCCUCCUUAGCUCAGUUGGUUAGAGCAUCGGAUUCUUAAUCCGCAGGUCCCAGGUUCGAGUCCUGGAGGGGGCAC
rnacentral:tRNA from 1 species